GUAGGGUGCAAGCGUUGUCCGGAAUUACUGGGUGUAAAGGGAGCGCAGGCGGACCGGCAAGUUGGGAGUGAAAUCCAUGGGCUCAACCCGUGAAUUGCUUUCAAAACUGCUGGCCUUGAGUAGUGCAGAGGUAGGUGGAAUUCCCGGUGUAGCGGUGGAAUGCGUAGAUAUCGGGAGGAACACCAGUGGCGAAGGCGACCUACUGGGCACCAACUGACGCUGAGGCUCGAAAGCAUGGGUAGCAAACAGGAUUAGAUACCCUAGUAGUCCACGCCGUAAACGAUGGUUACUAAGUGUCGGGGGUCAAACCCCGGUACUGCAGUCAACGCAGUAAGUGACCCGCCUGAGUAGU
rnacentral:rRNA from 1 species